ACCUACGGGGCUCAGCAGUGAGGAAUAUUGGUCAAUGGUCGGGAGACUGAACCAGCCAAGCCGCGUGAGGGAGGAAGGUACAGAGUAUCGUAAACCUCUUUUGUCAGGGAACAAAGGCGGGGACGUGUCCCCGGAUGAGUGUACCUGAAGAAAAAGCAUCGGCUAACUCCGUGCCAGCAGCCGCGGUAAUACGGAGGAUGCGAGCGUUAUCCGGAUUUAUUGGGUUUAAAGGGUGCGCAGGCGGUCUGUUAAGUCAGCGGUCAAAGCCCGGGGCUCAACCCCGGCCCGCCGUUGAAACUGGCAGU
rnacentral:rRNA from 1 species